CUACGGUGAAACACUGCUUCUCGUACGGUCACCGAAGUUAAGCAACGUCGGGCCUGGUCAGUAGCUUGAUGGGUGGCAGCUUAGAAAUACCAAGUGCUAUAA